UGAGGAAUAUUGGUCAAUGGACGAGAGUCUGAACCAGCCAAAUCGCGUGAAGGAAGACUGCCCUACGGGUUGUAAACUUCUUUUGUACAGGAAUAAAAGACAUUACGUGUAAUGUAUUGCAUGUACUGUACGAAUAAGCAUCGGCUAACUCCGUGCCAGCAGCCGCGGUAAUACGGAGGAUGCGAGCGUUAUCCGGAUUUAUUGGGUUUAAAGGGUGCGCAGGCGGGAUUUUAAGUCAGCGGUGAAAUUUUCAGGCUCAACCUGAACACUGCCGUUGAAACUGGGAUUCUUGAGUAUGGAUGAAGUAGGCGGAAUUCGUUGUGUAGCGGGGACAUGCUUAGAUAUAACGAGGAACUCCGAUUGCGUAGGCAGCUUACUAAGCCAUAACUGACGCUCAAGCACGAAAGCGUGGGGAUCAAACA
rnacentral:rRNA from 1 species